rnacentral:rRNA from 1 species
UGGGGAAUAUUGGACAAUGGGCGCAAGCCUGAUCCAGCCAUGCCGCGUGAGUGAUGAAGGCCUUAGGGUUGUAAUGCUCUUUUUGGCGGGGACGAUAAUGACGGUACCCGCAGAAUAAGCCCCGGCUAACUUCGUGCCAGCAGCCGCGGUAAUACGAAGGGGGCUAGCGUUGUUCGGAAUUACUGGGCGUAAAGCGCACGUAGGUGGAUAGUUAAGUGAGGGGUGAAAGCCCGAGGCUCAACCUCGGAAUUGCCUCUCAUACUGGCUGUCUCGAGUCCGAGAGAGGUGGGUGGAAUUCCUAGUGUAGAGGUGAAAUUCGUAGAUAUUAGGAAGAACACCGGUGGCGAAGGCGGCCCACUGGCUCGGUACUGACACUGAGGUGCGAAAGCGUGGGGAGCAAACAGGAUUAGAUACCCCAGUAGUCCCUGAGCGGGCUGGCAAGGCGCAU